AUACACUCAAUAAUCUAGAGAGAGAAAGAGAGAAAACUUGUUUCUGGUGUGAUUUUCAAUUCUAACUUAGCCCUCUAUUUAUAGAAAAAUGUUAGCAGACUUGACCUGCAACCUGAUGGCUUUACCUGCUACUAUUCCCACCCACCACAUUUGAAAUAAAUUCAGCACAUUUCUUCACCAACCACAAGUGGGGCCCACUCAAUUCUAGAAUUUUCCACCAAAAUCAUUUAUAAACCUAA
rnacentral:lncRNA from 1 species